rnacentral:rRNA from 1 species
GCUUGCUUAAAGGGGCCGUAGCAGGUUCUGUAAAUCUUUUGUGAAAUUGUUGCGCUUAACGUAACAGCGUGCAAGAGAGACUACAAAACUAGGAACCGGGAGGGGACAGAGGUAUUUUGUGGGGAGCGGUAAAAUGCUAUAAUCCACGAAGGACCACCUGUGGCGUAGGCGUCUGUCUAGAACGGGUUCGACUGUGAGGGACGAAGGCUGAGGGAGCGAUCGGGAUUAGAUAUAAACAUAAACAAAUUUUUGUUUACUAAAUACCCCAGUAGUCUCAGCAGUAAACGCUGCGAGCUAUGUGUUGCAUGUUCUUUGGGAACAUGCAGUGCCUAAGCGAAGGUGUUAAGCUCGCCACCUGGGAAGUACGGCCGCAAGACUGAAACUUAAAGGAACUGGCGGGGGCUCACUACAAGGGGUGCGGCGUGCGGUUUAAUUGGAUUCUACGCCGGAAUCUCACCAGGAACGACAGGCAGAAUGAAGGUCAGAUUGAAGGUCUUACCUAACAAGCCGAGAGGAGGUGCAUGGCCGUCGUCAGUUCGUGUCGUGAGAUGUCAUGUUAAGUCAUGCAACGAACAAGACCCAUAUCUAUAUUUGCUAACGCCUCUGUAAGAGGAGCGAGCACAAUAUAGAGACUGCCUUGGAAACAAGGAGGAAGGUGUGGGCAACGAUAGGUCCGCAUGCCCCUAAAGCC